rnacentral:rRNA from 1 species
UCGAACGAGAAUCUGGAGGUUCAAGUUUUCGGACAAGAACUUCGGAGGAAAGUGGCGGAAGGGUGAGUACAACAUGGAUAAUCUACCUUCAAGUUGGGUAUAGCUUCCCGAAAGGGGAGAUAAUCCCGAAUGUGGUGAUCCGGCGCCUGUCGGAGAAUCCAAAGGUGGGGACCGCAAGGCCUGCCGCUUGAAGAUGAGUCCGUGCACUAUCAGCUAGUUGGUGAGGUAAUGGCUCACCAAGGCGAUGACGGUUAGCUGGUCUGAGAGGAUGGUCAGCCACACUGGGACUGAGAUACUGCCCAGACUCCUACGGGAGGCUGCAGUCGAGAAUCAUUCGCAAUGGGCGCAAGCCUGACGGUGCGACGUCGCGUGGAGGAUGAAGGUCUUCGGAUUGUAAACUCCUGUCAUGUGGGAUAAAUGGCCAGGGCAUGAAUAGUGCCUUGGAAUGAUAGUACCACAGGAGGAAGGGACGGCUAACUCUGUG